UACGGGGGGGCAAGGCGUUGUUCGGAAUUACUGGGCGUAAAGGGCGCGUAGGCGGUCUCUUAAGUUCCGUGUGAAAUCCCUCGGCUCAACUGGGGAACUGCACGGGAAACUGGAAGGCUUGAGUUCGGGAGAGGGAAGCGGAAUUCCGGGUGUAGCGGUGAAAUGCGCAGAUAUCCGGAGGAACACCGGUGGCGAAGGCGGCUUCCUGGACCGACACUGACGCUGAGGCGCGAAAGCUAGGGGAGCAAACGGG
rnacentral:rRNA from 1 species